AGGCAGCAGUAGGGAAUAUUGGACAAUGGGCGCAAGCCUGAUCCAGCCAUGCCGCGUGAGUGAAGAAGGCCUUCGGGUUGUAAAGCUCUUUUGUCCGGAAAGAAAAGCUUCGGGUCAAUACCCCGGAGUCCUGACGGUACCGGAAGAAUAAGCACCGGCUAACUUCGUGCCAGCAGCCGCGGUAAUACGAAGGGUGCAAGCGUUACUCGGAAUUACUGGGCGUAAAGCGUGCGUAGGUGGUUUGUUAAGUCUGAUGUGAAAGCCCUGGGCUCAACCUGGGAAUGGCAUUGGAUACUGGCAGGCUAGAGUGCGGUAGAGGGUAGUGGAAUUCCCGGUGUAGCAGUGAAAUGCGUAGAGAUCGGGAGGAACAUCUGUGGCGAAGGCGACUACCUGGACCAGCACUGACACUGAGGCACGAAAGCGUGGGGAGCAAACAGGAUUAGAUACCCUGGUAGUCCACGCCCUAAAGCCCGCGGGGCUGGAUCCGGGCUCAACUGGAGCUCAGUAUC
rnacentral:rRNA from 1 species